UACGGGGGGAGCAAGCGUUGUUCGGAUUUACUGGGCGUAAAGGGCGCGUAGGCGGUCAGCACAAGUCAGUUGUGAAAUCUCCGAGCUUAACUCGGAAAGGUCAACUGAUACUGUGCGACUAGAGUGCGGUAGGGGAGACUGGAAUUCCUGGUGUAGCGGUGAAAUGCGCAGAUAUCAGGAGGAACACCGGUGGCGAAGGCGGGUCUCUGGGCCGUAACUGACGCUGAGGAGCGAAAGCAUGGGGAGCGAACAGG
rnacentral:rRNA from 1 species